rnacentral:rRNA from 1 species
UACGUAGGGCGCGAGCGUUGUCCGGAAUUAUUGGGCGUAAAGAGCUUGUAGGCGGUUUGUCGCGUCUGCUGUGAAAGGCCGGAGCUUAACUCCGUGUAUUGCAGUGGGUACGGGCAGACUAGAGUGCAGUAGGGGAGACUGGAAUUCCUGGUGUAGCGGUGGAAUGCGCAGAUAUCAGGAGGAACACCGAUGGCGAAGGCGGUUCUCUGGGCAUUACCUGACGCUGAGGAGCGAAAGUGUGGGGAGCGAACAGG